rnacentral:sRNA from 1 species
UCCACAGACUUUGUGAAAACUACAUCAAGAGCUGGUUUGAGGGCCAAGGGCUGGCCGGGAAGCUACGGGCCAUCCAGACGGUGUCCUGCCUCCUGCAGGGCCCAUGUGACGCUGGCAACCGGGCCUUGGAGCUGAGCGGUGUUAUGGAGAGUGUGAUUGCUCUGUGUGCCUCUGAGCAGGAGGAGGAGCAGCUGGUGGCCGUGGAGGCUCUGAUCCACGCAGCUGGCAAGGCUAAGCGGGCCUCAUUCAUCACUGCCAAUGGUGUCUCGCUGCUGAAGGACCUAUAUAAGUGCAGCGAGAAGGACAGCAUCCGCAUCCGGGCGCUAGUGGUGAGACGGUGGGCCUGGGGUGGGUAGGCAGGCAGCCAGGCAGGGGUCCUGGUCCAGCCGGUGUUGCAGGGUGCGGCCCCAGCACACUCUAGAUGAAAAUAAGGAAUACUGUAAUGCCAAAAAAAUUAGCCAGGCUUGGUGGUGCAUGCGUAUAGGUCCAGCUACUUGGGAGGCUGAGGCAGGAGGAUCACUUGAGCUCAGGAGGUUGAGGCUGUGGUGAGUCA